GGCCGGAUAGUUCAGUGGUAGAAUACGUGCUUUGGGUAAUAUCAACGCUUGUACGUGGUCUUGGGUUCAAUCCCCAAUUCGGCCC